rnacentral:pre_miRNA from 1 species
GUUCUACUCCCUCCGUUCCACAAUACAUGCCUUAUAUUUGUCAAAAUAUAGAUGUAUCUAGACAUGUUUUAGUAUAUAGGUACAUCCAUUUUUGGACAAAUGGAAGUCAAGUAUUUUGGAAUGGAGGGAGUACACA